AGAGGGGAGUUGCCGGACAGACAUCAAUGAAUUUGGGAGCAGUACGAUAGCAGCACCUAGUGGCCAUUAGUGGAAAUGCAGCUGAAGAAACUUGAGCAAUGACUUGACCAACUCCAUCAUCCUGCUGCCCUCAAAAGCCAACUGUACCAGCCAGUUUACUUCCACCAUGACGUAUUCUCCUGACGUCCAUCGCUGGCAGAGGAACUUCAUGAAGUUUAGAAACGACUGACUGUGACUCAAGGAGCAGUGACUAUGGUUCAAGACUGAAGCUGAAAAGAAAAUGCAGAACCACUGAUGCUCCGUACAGUCUAACUAUGGCUCCAAACAAAUCUUACAAGCCCCUCGUCUGUUGUAACACUCACAGAUACAGCAGCAGGACAGCAGUGAGGCGAUGCAGAGCAGAGACAGAGUGAUGGAGCUGGUGAUAACAGCGGAGCCGCCAUUGUCUUCACAGAGCUCAGACCAGGGUCUGAGUGUGUGUGUCUGGGGUUGUCACGAAACAGCUGGAGGGAACCUCCCUGGAAGUCAGUCUCUACAUAACUCUGACAAUAUGGUUUAUAAUAAUAUGCAUUGUAACUAAUAUUAAAAUUAAAAAGAACCCUGUAACAUCGUGAG